rnacentral:ncRNA from 2 species
ACUGUAAUAUGGGCACUUACA